AAGGUGGAGCGCUUCUGUCGCGGCAGCAAUGCUGAGGAAAGUCCGGACAGGAAAGGGCGGUCCGCUGCGGAAAUCGCAGAAGGGAGUAAUCUUUUGGAUACCGUAACAGAAAACGACCGGAUCCGCAAGGAUCCAAGGGUGAAAACGCGAGGCAAGAGCUCACGACGUGCGACGGCGACGCCGUGCGGGUACGGUCCCGGAACCUGCAAAACCAAAUAUACUGGCAGAUGAGGGCUGCCCGCCCGAUGCCAGGGGGUAGGUUGCGAAGAUAAAUGACAGAUCAGAACAGAAACCGGCUUACGGCUCCACCUUUUUU
rnacentral:RNase_P_RNA from 1 species